UACAGAGGUCUCAAGCGUUGUUCGGAUUCAUUGGGCGUAAAGGGUGUGUAGGUGGCGCCGUAAGUCGGGUGUGAAAUUUCGGAGCUUAACUCCGAAACUGCAUUCGAUACUGCGGUGCUUGAGGACUGGAGAGGAGACUGGAAUUCCUGGUGUAGCGGUGGAAUGCGCAGAUAUCAGGAGGAACACCGGUGGCGAAGGCGGGUCUCUGGGCCGUUACUGACGCUGAGGAGCGAAAGCGUGGGGAGCGAACAGG
rnacentral:rRNA from 1 species